rnacentral:lncRNA from 1 species
CAAACUUUCUCCUCCUCUGUUUUUUAAAUUAUCUCAUCAUUUAUUAUUGGAUCAGAUAAUAAAACUAAGGAACCAGAGAGAUGGGAUUCGUACCAAUACCUUCAGAGAAACAUCUCCUCUGCUCGUAACAACGUCUCUUUCACCGGAGCUGGCGUCACCGUCGAGGAAGUCCGUUCCGCUUCCGCUGUUUCCGAUCCUCCGCCUCUCUACCCUCCCGUUCUAACCACCCCCGUCUCGUUGCCCACUCGUAAGUCUCUCCGACUUUGACCCUUAAAAGUCUGAAAGUUUCAUCCUUUUUGUCGGCUCUGUUUCACAGCGGAAGCUAUUGGCUACCCGAGUGCGUCUGGAGCAGGUCAUGAACUGCAAAGGUACAAAGGUUCCUACUUUUAGUCUCAUUGCUCUUGUUAGGAUUCAAAGAUUGAAGCUUUUACAUUUAUCUCAGGCAGGUGCUUGAUGAGAUUGAGAUAAGAGAGCUGCUGAUUGAUCACAUCGGCCACCGUUGCUGUUGGGGAAGCCGUCCAGCUCGCACGUGGAGGAUCCGUGCGGUCGAAGACUGCAAUGUCUAUGUCGGAACUCUCGACACUUUUAUCGAAGAGAGGGAAGCUUUAACACAGACAGUGCCUUUCAACGGUGGGAACUUCGAACAUGGAUCUGCUCCUGAGUUAUGGCAAAUAGACCUGAGGUCGCAGUUUCCAACUCUCUUUGUUCCUUACAAAGAGACUCGAGUCCCGGUUCCUCAUUCUGAGACUGUUGACAAGUGCACUGGUAAGACUCUUUCUUAUGUCUUUAGUGAUUGUUAGGAUGAUGCUGAAGAGGGCAUUUUUGAUUAAUAGGUUGCGGAUCAAAAGACUGACGAACGAAUCCAAGGGACGUGACAAUGUAAGUGACGUACUGAAGAUACCCUCCUGGUCCAGCAUGAGUGUGGAUCCCACUUAUUGCAACGUUCUUCUCUGUGUAAAGAUCACCAUAUCUACAAAAUGAAAUUAUUACAACAUUCUUGUAGAUUAGUUCAAAAUAACACUGACACUGUGCUUAUUGGUCGUUACCUUGCCUUGAGUCGCUCAAGAACUUUGAUGGUAACGAUCUGAGACGCCAUACACGCGUCAAGAUUCACAAACGCGACGCGGUUACCUUGAGGCUCAGCGACGAUGAAGGCACGAGCUCGCAGACGGAAAUGGAUCCCUGAGGCGAUUUGCUCGGAGUUAGCGUAUCCCAUCAUGUUGACGUCAGCGGCUGGACCGGUGAUGUCAUAGCUUCCCACGCCGAUUAAGUACUCGGAAGACGAAAGAACGGCUCUAGUUAAGAGAAGAGACAGUAGAAACUGAAACGACAAUGGAACUGAGACAGCCAUGUUUUGGAGAGAGGAGGAAGAAGGGAGAGUAGUGAUAGAUCUUUAAGAGGAGAAAGAUUUCACACGAGAAGUGAUUGUGAGAGAGAAUACGCCAUGAAAGAUUGAAACUUUGCAAAAGCGUGAGUGGGAGAGAGAGAGAAAAGGUGAAUAAAAUUUUCAAAUGUGGAAGCGAGUGGAUGUCGGUAGUGAAACUUCACACUCUGUCAAACCUUAUUUGUUUCUAUUUAUACUAAUCUUGUAUAUUAUGGUUUCAUAUUAGUUUAAAUAGAUCGUGUUUAUUACUGACUAAUUAUCUAUGGUUUGAUGAUGAUGAUAUUAGUUUUUUUACGCGUUUAACGCAUACAUCCUCGAAAUGAGGUUCUUGACAAUAGAUUAAUUUUAUUUUAAUGUUAUUUGAAAAUCAAGCCAAGCCACUUAAAAUCUGGCACAACAUGGUUAGCGAGAUUUCCUCGGAGAACCCGUUUCUUGUUUCUGUCCACUUUUUCAAUUAUUCUCCUAAAUCUAUUAAAAUCUCCACCAAUGACCUUGCUCUAAAAUGCAUCCAAAAUACUACAUAACUAUCACAUUAAAUUUUGUACUAUGGAAAAAGGAGAUGAACAUAGUUACUGCAGAGGUUACAAAUACUAGUAUUGGUUUUUAUAAAUUGUUUGAAUUGAAUAAUAACAUGUUUUAGUUGUUGAUACGCACCCAUCACCCAUGUGAUUCCUCUUGGAGCUGCAUACAUCCAUGUGAACGUGUUAAAACUCUUUGCUUGUCUUGGUAAUAAACUCUUAAAGACGUUCAGUCAUUGACCAUACAUAAGUGGCAAGUGCAAUAAUCAUUCUCUGAUACACGUACUUGCAAAAUCAGAGGUGGGUGAAAUCCUCAACCGUUUCACACGGAAACAAACUUAAUGACCCGAUCUUAUCCGGAUCCGACCAGACUCAACCCGACAAGUAAAUCUCUUCCGUCCCUGUUUCGUGUAAUGAUCACGAGAAAGAAAGUAACAAAAAAAUAAUAGGAUCGGAAUUGACUUUGGCGUUUCCUUACUCUCUAAGAAAAAAAAAAUCUCUUCUUUCUUCUCUUCUAUCGGUUUCUGAUAAGCACAAAGAGAGAGACUCGUGAUCAAUGGAGAAGCCUCUGCUUUCAGGUAAUUCAAUUCAAUAAAGAACCAAACUUUCUCCUCCUCUGUUUUUUAAAUUAUCUCAUCAUUUAUUAUUGGAUCAGAUAAUAAAACUAAGGAACCAGAGAGAUGGGAUUCGUACCAAUACCUUCAGAGAAACAUCUCCUCUGCUCGUAACAACGUCUCUUUCACCGGAGCUGGCGUCACCGUCGAGGAAGUCCGUUCCGCUUCCGCUGUUUCCGAUCCUCCGCCUCUCUACCCUCCCGUUCUAACCACCCCCGUCUCGUUGCCCAC